AAUGAACGUUGGCGGCGUGGAUUAGGCAUGCAAGUCGAGCGGGAGUAGCAAUACUCUAGCGGCGAAAGGGACAGUAAUGUGUAGAUACCUACCCUCGGGUUCGGGAUAGCUGCGGGAAACUGCAGGUAAUACCGAAUAAUAUCUCCGGAUCAAAGGUGUGAUUCCGCCGGAGGACGGGUCUGCAUCCUAUUAGCUAGUUGGUGAGGUAAUGGCUCACCAAGGCGAUGAUGGGUAGCGGGUGUGAGAGCACGACCCGCGUCAUUGGGACUGAGACACUGCCCAGACACCUACGGGUGGCUGCAGUCGAGGAUCUUCGGCAAUGGACGCAAGUCUGACCGAGCGACGCCGCGUGCGGGAUGAAGGCCUUCGGGUUGUAAACCGCUGUCAGUGGGGAGGAAAUUCCUAGGGGUUAUCCCCUAGGAUUGACUAAUCCGCAGAGGAAGUGUGGGCUAAGCUCGUGCCAGCAGCCGCCGUAAAAC
rnacentral:rRNA from 1 species